UCAUCGGUAUGGGAUGGGGUCGCGUCCUAUCAGGUAGUCGGCGGGGUAACGGCCCACCGAGCCUACGACGGGUAGCCGGCCUGAGAGGGCGACCGGCCACAUUGGGACUGAGAUACGGCCCAGACUCCUACGGGAGGCAGCAGUGGGGAAUAUUGCACAAUGGGCGCAAGCCUGAUGCAGCGACGCCGCGUGCGGGAUGACGGCCUUCGGGUUGUAAACCGCUUUUGAUCGGGAGCAAGCCUUCGGGUGAGUGUACCUUUCGAAUAAGCACCGGCUAACUACGUGCCAGCAGCCGCGGUAAUACGUAGGGUGCAAGCGUUAUCCGGAAUUAUUGGGCGUAAAGGGCUCGUAGGCGGUUCGUCGCGUCCGGUGUGAAAGUCCAUCGCUUAACGGUGGAUCCGCGCCGGGUACGGGCGGGCUUGAGUGCGGUAGGGGAGACUGGAAUUCCCGGUGUAACGGUGGAAUGUGUAGAUAUCGGGAAGAACACCAAUCGAAUUC
rnacentral:rRNA from 1 species